rnacentral:rRNA from 1 species
AGCGAACGCUGGCGGCAGGCUUAACACAUGCAAGUCGAGCGGGCCCUUCGGGGUCAGCGGCAGACGGGUGAGUAACACGUGGGAACGUACCCUUUGGUUCGGAAUAACGCUGGGAAACUAGCGCUAAUACCGGAUACGCCCUUUUGGGGAAAGGCUUGCUGCCGAAGGAUCGGCCCGCGUCUGAUUAGCUAGUUGGUGGGGUAAUGGCCUACCAAGGCGACGAUCAGUAGCUGGUCUGAGAGGAUGAUCAGCCACACUGGGACUGAGACACGGCCCAG